rnacentral:rRNA from 1 species
UGGGGAAUUUUGGACAAUGGGGGAAACCCUGAUCCAGCCAUCCCGCGUGUGCGAUGAAGGCCUUCGGGUCGUAAAGCACUUUUGGCAGGAAAGAAACGUCAUGGGUUAAUACCCCGUGAAACUGACGGGACCUGCAGAAUAAGCACCGGCUAACUACGUGCCAGCAGCCGCGGUAAUACGUAGGGUGCAAGCGUUAAUCGGAAUUACUGGGCGUAAAGCGUGCGCAGGCGGUUCGGAAAGAAAGAUGUGAAAUCCCAGAGCUCAACUUUGGAACUGCAUUUUUAACUACCGGGCUAGAGUGUGUCAGAGGGAGGUGGAAUUCCGCGUGUAGCAGUGAAAUGCGUAGAUAUGCGGAGGAACACCGAUGGCGAAGGCAGCCUCCUGGGAUAACACUGACGCUCAUGCACGAAAGCGUGGGGAGCAAACAGG